rnacentral:lncRNA from 1 species
UCAGCGCCAUCUUCAAAUCAUUCAAAGAAAAACUGAAAAGGAAUCACAACUCGAAUUACUAAUGUGCUUCAGCUAAAACAUACUCUCUGCAUCCAGCACUAAAUCUACAACACUUAUUUUGGAACGGAAUGAGUACAUUACAAGUAUUUGUAAUCUUCGUAUACUAAUAGUUUCCAAUGAGAAAUGAAAAAGCAAGGAAGAUAUCAAAUAGUCAUUCUAUCUUCAGUUAUUACGACGUGAAGGGCCGAUGAACUCACUAAUUAACCUUGCAAGCCGAUCAACCGAUCCAAGCUGUUAAUGCCGGCGACGUCCGUACGUAGCUAGUGGCCGGCGCCCCUGUUGCUUGGACCGGCCGGCAGCCUCGGCAUGAGCAUCUCCACUGUCUCC